rnacentral:lncRNA from 1 species
GUAAUAAGGAAGGACAGGUAAUUUUGGAAAAACUGGGGUGGGAGGCCAAGAAGCAGGACGUCAUAUAACAUCGGCACCUCUCUGUCACAGCAGAUGUUUGAUUAGGUAAUUUCUCUGGCCUCUCUUUCCUUAGAUCCCGUUCUAUUAGGGAAUGAAACUGAGGAAGGAGAUCCAAGCCAUGCUGGGAAAUGAAGUCCUCUUCCCAGGUUGGCCACUAAUGAAAACCUCCAUCCAGAGAUCUAAGAAGCCCAUUAAUCAGGACUCAUCACAGAUCCUGACUUUGGAAAUAGAGACCUCCCCCCAGUCUAGUUCUUUUAGAUUCACAAUAAGCAUGUCUACACCAGGCCACAAUUAUACUGACUCCUUGGGCCCUAUCUACUGUCCUCAAACUCCAAACAGAAACAUAAACAAGAGUCAGGAAAAGCUACUGCCUUGGGUACCACUUCCACUGACAUGGGCUUGCUGUGGACUCCACCAUUGUUGGAGCUUCUGUCUGACACUCUGAAUUCCAUCAAGAAUCUAAUAGCCCCAGAAGAGGUAACGCCUAUAAAUGUCAUCCAAAGUGAAGCAUUUUUCCAGAAAGAAGUGAGAAAUUACAAGGGCCCAUGGGGGACACAAGAAACCAUGACAGAAGAAUCUCAGAAGACUUGAGACCAUCCCUGGUUUUUUGUUUGUUGGUCGGUUGGUUUGUUUUAUACAGACUGUUGCUUAGGAAGGUGUAAGCUUAGGAAAUUUCCUUAAUGCCUCUGACCCUCUAUCUUACUCUCCUCUCAAGGCCACUAGAAAGAGUAGAAUGAAGUGAUAUUGAAUGAAAUGUGGGUAUCUCCCCAUUUUGAAAAGUGGAAACUCUUUUAUCAAUAUGAGCUAUUAUUUUCUAAGGUAAUUUCCUGGUCUUGCUCGAGGCAGAUCUGACUCUUCAGAGGAAGACCAAGUACCAACCAGUUAACUGGAAGGAAAGUGAUGAUUUUAAAAGGAAGAGUAUCGUCUACGAAUAGUGUAUGUAUUCUUAUUUCCUUUGAAACACAACAAAAUAUAGGAGUUAAACUUCUAGAUAGUAAUCAAGGAACCUGCAUGACUCUGCACUUGCAGUGAUAGGUGCUUAAGGUAGAAGACACUUUAUGGUACGGUCACAGUAGCCCUAACCAACCCAUUGAUAGCCUUGAGUUAUUUUAGUUUGUUUGGACCUUAGCUUUGGUGUGAUCUUAACUGGCUUCCUUUCCAGAACUUCACUGUGUGUGAAAAGGUUUUGCUUUCAGUUGUUCAUUGAAUUAUUUCUGGUGUCCGAGUCAGAAGGAGACAGCCCUGGAAAAGAUCAAGAUUACAAAGCAAAGUCAUUUGAGGUGUUAGCCUUUGAUCCUCGGAGUUUGUAAAGAUGCACUUAUUAGACUCCAGACGCCCCCAGUCAGGCCAUGGAUUAACUGGACAACUGGAGGACUGUGGGUGAAUAGUACAAGAAGCAUGUCUAACAGAAAGAUGUUUCCACCUGGAAGAAUGGCUCCGUUCCAGCCCAGUUCCUUAUGGAUUUGUUAAUUGGAUUUGUUCUUGCAGUUAAGGCAAAUCACCAUAUAUGCUAGUUAGUGGUUUCAGGCACUGCACAAUUGGAAUUCUGCUCAAGGAAAGGUUGGCCAAAAAAGAAAAACACUUUCUCAAGAGGUUUACUCCUACUGGACCGAAAGAAAAUUUACAUGUUGAGCAGAGCCAGAAAGGAAAGUGAAAGUUCUGUACGUCUCAAUUUCACUACUUAGGAGAUUCAGAUGUGAUGUAUUUAAGCCUUCCCAUACAUGGGAAAGGCACUGGGCCAGGUAGUUCUGUGGAAAAAGUUCAUGCAUACAAAGUGUGUGGCCACAAACCCAGCACCUCAUGCCCCACGAAACACCGAAGCCGUAUAAUAACCCUUCAGAGUAAAUCACAAUGCUUAUUAGAAGAUGGUGUUACUGGCAUUGACACUGGUGAGCGCAGGUGUGCCUAAAAGAUCCCUAUACUGAAGUGUUCUUUCCACACUGGAUGUGUGGAGCUUUUUCAAUUUACAGAUGCAGCUUUUAUUGUCCAGCCAGAACAGCUGGUGCAAUUCAAGUGCGUCUGCGGUUGCCACCCUUGGAAGGUGUCACCUGGCCGUGGGGGGGCCUGACGGGACAUCGGUAAGAUCCGAGAGAAAGGAUGCAUGCGAUAGACCACUGAAGACCAUUCAAGACCAUUGAAGACCAUUGAAGACCAUUGAAUUCAAUUACAUUGAAUUGUAAACUCAGAAGACUAUAGGGUCAAAUGCAAGGUAAGAUCCCAGAUUGGAUCCUGGGACAGCAAAAGGACAUUCAUGGAAGAAACGGUGAAAUAUGAAUAAAGCCUGCAGUCCAGUCA